AUACUUACCUGGCGUGAAGAUUUACCGUGAUCAACUAGGCGGUUCCUCCUGGGUGGGACCCGGUCAUUGCACAUUAAUGGGUUGACCCUCGCGAGAAUCCCUAAUGUGGACACCUUGGACGCAUACACUUUGAUAGCUGGGAUUGCAUUCGCGCCGUCCCUC